UAAGCGGAGGAAAAGAAACCAACAGGGAUUGCCCUAGUAACGGCGAGUGAAGCGGCAACAGCUCAAAUUUGAAAUCUGGCGCAAGCCCGAGUUGUAAUUUGCAGAGGAUGCUUCUGGGCAGCGGCCGGUCUAAGUUCCUUGGAACAGGACGUCAUAGAGGGUGAGAAUCCCGUAUGCGACCGGCUGGCACCCUAUACGAAGCUCCUUCGACGAGUCGAGUUGUUUGGGAAUGCAGCUCUAAAUGGGAGGUAAAUGUCUUCUAAAGCUAAAUACCGGCCAGAGACCGAUAGCGCACAAGUAGAGUGAUCGAAAGAUGAAAAGCACUUUGGAAAGAGAGUUAAAAAGCACGUGAAAUUGUUGAAAGGGAAGCGCAUGCAACCAGACUUGUCGGCGGUGUUCCGCCGGUCUUCUGACCGGUCCACUCGCCGUCGGCAGGCCAGCAUCACUUGGGGCCGCUGGAUAAAGGCCCGGGAAUGUAGCUCCUCGGAGUGUUAUAGCCCGGCGCACAAUACAGCGUGUCCCGAGUGAGGUCCGCGCUUCGGCUAGGAUGCUGGCGUAAUGGUUGUUUGCGGCCCGUCUUGAAACACGGACCAAGGAGUCUAACAUCUAUGCGAGUGUUCGGGUGUCAAACCCCUACGCGUAAUGAAAGUGAACGGAGGUGGGAACUUAGGUGCACCAUCGACCGAUCCUGAUGUCUUCGGAUGGAUUUGAGUAAGAGCAUAGCUGUUGGGACCCGAAAGAUGGUGAACUAUGCCUGAAUAGGGUGAAGCCAGAGGAAACUCUGGUGGAGGCUCGCAGCGGUUCUGACGUGCAAAUCGAUCGUCAAAUUUGGGUAUAGGGGCGAAAGACUAAUCGAACCAUAGACCUAUUUACUA
rnacentral:rRNA from 1 species